AAACAUCGCCUCCUGAUUUAUUAUAGGAGGUCCAGCCUGCCCAGUGACCCAGUUAAACGGCCGCGGUACCCUAACCGUGCGAAGGUAGCGCAAUCACUUGUUCUUUAAAUGAGGACUAGUAUGAAUGGCAUCACGAAGGCUACACUGUCUCCCCCCUCCAAUCAGUGAAACUGAUCUCCCCGUGAAGAAGCGGGGAUAAAACCAUAAGACGAGAAGACCCCAUGGAGCUUAAAACUCAGUUUCACCUGCACACCAAUAUAUCACAUCAACCCUGCAGACCUGAUUACUAGUUUUCGGUUGGGGUGACCACGGAGCAAAACAAAACCUCCACGACGAAAGGACAUCUCCCUAAUCCAAGAGCAACAACUCUAAGAAUCAAAAAAUUGACGUUACUUGAUCCAAGUUUACUUGAUCAACGAACCAAGUUACCCUGGGGAUAACAGCGCAAUCCAUUUCAAGAGCUCCUAUCGACAAAUGGGUUUACGACCUCGAUGUUGGAUCAGGGUAUCCUAGUGGUGCAGCCGCUACUAAAGGUUCGUUUGUUCAACGAU
rnacentral:rRNA from 1 species